rnacentral:rRNA from 1 species
GACGAACGCUGGCGGCGUGCCUAAUACAUGCAAGUCGAGCGCAGGAAACUGACGGAACUCUUCGGAGGGAAGGCAGUGGAAUGAGCGGCGGACGGGUGAGUAACACGUAAGGAACCUGCCUCAAGGAUUGGGAUAACUCCGAGAAAUCGGAGCUAAUACCGGAUAGUUCAACGGACCGCAUGGUCCGCUGGUUAAAGGCGCUUCGGCGUCACCUUGAGAUGGCCUUGCGGUGCAUUAGCUAGUUGGUGGGGUAACGGCCCACCAAGGCGACGAUGCAUAGCCGACCUGAGAGGGUGAUCGGCCACACUGGGACUGAGACACGGCCCAGACUCCUACGGGAGGCAGCAGUAGGGAAUCUUCCACAAUGGACGAAAGUCUGAUGGAGCAACGCCGCGUGAGUGAUGAAGGUUUUCGGAUCGUAAAACUCUGUUGUAAGGGAAGAACACGUACGAGAGGAAAUGCUCGUACCUUGACGGUACCUUACGAGAAAGCCACGGCUAACUACGUGCCAGCAGCCGCGGUAAAAC